rnacentral:rRNA from 1 species
GACGAACGCUGGCGGCGUGCUUAACACAUGCAAGUCGAACGGAAAGGCCCUGCUUUUGUGGGGUGCUCGAGUGGCGAACGGGUGAGUAACACGUGAGUAACCUGCCCUUGACUUUGGGAUAACUUCAGGAAACUGGGGCUAAUACCGGAUAGGAGCUCCUGCUGCAUGGUGGGGGUUGGAAAGUUUCGGCGGUUGGGGAUGGACUCGCGGCUUAUCAGCUUGUUGGUGGGGUAGUGGCUUACCAAGGCUUUGACGGGUAGCCGGCCUGAGAGGGUGACCGGCCACCAUGGGACUGAGAUACGGCCCAGACUCCUACGGGAGGCAGCAGUGGGGAAUAUUGCACAAUGGGCGGAAGCCUGAUGCAGCAACGCCGCGUGCGUGAUGACGGCCUUCGGGUUGUAAACCGCUUUCGCCUGUGACGAAGCGUGAGUGACGGUAAUGGGUAAAGAAGCACCGGCUAACUACGUG